GACGAACGCUGGCGGCGUGCUUAACACAUGCAAGUCGAACGAAGUGGCGAACGGGUGAGUAACGCGUAAUCAACCUGCCCUUCAGAGGGGGACAACAGUUGGAAACGAAUGCUAAAACCGAAUACUGAAGGAGGGGAUUGCGUCUGAUUAGCUAGUUGGAUGGGUAAAGGCCCACCAAGGGGAUGAUACGUAGCCGGGCUGGGCGGAUGAACGGCCAAAUUGGGACUGGGACACGGCCCAGACUCCUAAGGGAGGCAGCAAUGGGGAAUCUUCCGCAAUGGGCGAAAGUCUGACUGAGCAACGCCGCGUGAGUGAUGACGGCCUUCGGGUUGUAAAGCUCUGUUAAUCGGGACGCGGUACCGGAAUAGAAAGCCACGGCUAACUACGUGCCAGCAGCCGCGGUAAUAC
rnacentral:rRNA from 1 species